rnacentral:tRNA from 1 species
GCGGGCGUAGCUCAGCUGGUAGAGCAACAGGUUGUGGUUCUGUAGGUCGUCGGUUCAAGACCGAUCGCUCGCCCCA